CCUACGGGAGGCUGCAGUGAGGAAUAUUGGUCAAUGGACGAGAGUCUGAACCAGCCAAGUAGCGUGAAGGAUGACUGCCCUAUGGGUUGUAAACUUCUUUUAUAUGGGAAUAAAACGUUCCACGUGUGGGAUUUUGUAUGUACCAUAUGAAUAAGGAUCGGCUAACUCCGUGCCAGCAGCCGCGGUAAUACGGAGGAUCCGAGCGUUAUCCGGAUUUAUUGGGUCUAAAGGGAGCGUAGGUGGAUUGUUAAGUCAGUUGUGAAAGUUUGCGGCUCAACCGUAAAAUUGCAGUUGAAACUGGCAGUCUUGAGUACAGUAGAGGUGGGCGGAAUUCGUGGUGUAGCGGUGAAAUGCUUAGAUAUCACGAAGAACUCCGAUUGCGAAGGCAGUUCACUGGACUGCAACUGACACUGAGGCUCGAAAGUGUGGGUAUCAAACAGGAUUAGAUACCCUAGUAGUC
rnacentral:rRNA from 1 species